AGUGAACGCUGGCGGUAGGCCUAACACAUGCGAGUCGAACGGCAGCACAGUAAGAGCUUGCUCUUACGGGUGGCGAGUGGCGGACGGGUGAGGGAUACAUCGGAAUCUACUUUUUCGUGGGGGAUAACGUAGGGAAACUUACGCUAAUACCGCAUACGACCUACGGGUGAAAGCAGGGGAUCUUCGGACCUUGCGCGAUUGAAUGAGCCGAUGUCGGAUUAGCUAGUUGGCGGGGUAAAGGCCCACCAAGGCGACGAUCCGUAGCUGGUCUGAGAGGAUGAUCAGCCACACUGGAACUGAGACACGGUCCAGACUCCUACGGGAGGCGGCAGUGGGGAAUAUUGGACAAUGGGCGCAAGCCUGAUUCAGCCAUACCGCGUGGGUGAAGAAGGCCUUCGGGUUGUAAAGCCCUUUUGUUGGGAAAGAAAAGCAGCAGGUUAAUACCCCGCUGUUCUGACGGUACCCAAAGAAUAAGCACCGGCUAACUUCGUG
rnacentral:rRNA from 1 species